AAGGGGGCGAGCGUUGUUCGGAAUUACUGGGCGUAAAGGGUGUGUAGGCGGGUUAGUAAGAUAGCGGUGAAAUACCUGAGCUUAACUUGGGAACUGCCGUUAUAACUAUUGACCUAGAGUGACAGAGAGGAUAUUGGAAUACCCAGUGUAGAGGUGAAAUUCGUAGAUAUUGGGGAGAACACCGGAGGCGAAGGCGAGUAUCUGGCUGUCAACUGACGCUGAGGCACGAAAGCAUGGGGAGCAAA
rnacentral:rRNA from 1 species